UACGAAGGGGGCUAGCGUUGCUCGGAAUUACUGGGCGUAAAGGGAGCGUAGGCGGGUUAUCAAGUUCGAUGUGAAAGCCCCGGGCUCAACCUGGGAACUGCAUUGGAAACUGGCGAGCUUGAAUGCGGCAGAGGGGGGUGGAAUUCCGCGUGUAGCAGUGAAAUGCGUAGAGAUGCGGAGGAACACCGAUGGCGAAGGCAGCCCCCUGGGCCGACAUUGACGCUCAGGCACGAAAGCGUGGGGAGCAAACAGG
rnacentral:rRNA from 1 species